AUGUCAUCAUGACAACUAUCAGUCGUACGACCCCUUCACUAAACAGUUUAAAAGAGUACACUCAGUGAUACCCAAACUACGGUCAGCGGGCCACAUCCGGCUGUGCUAGAAAUUACGUCUACAGUGUGUGAAACUUGCCUGUGCUCAUUUACAUUUAACAUUUACAUUUAACAUUUACAUUUAACAUUUAACUCAACAUUUUUUCCCCCUUUACGUAGCGGCCUGAGUGAUGCUUGUCGGAAAUUGAUGUGGCCCCUCAGCCGAUAAAUGUUUUGUAACCACUGAGGAAGUUAAUGGAUACCUAGGAUUUGUGCCCAACUUAGAGACCGUAAGAAAGAACAAUGGAAUCAUUCAAGUAUGAAGGAGGUGACUCUAGGUCAGACGUUCUAUCAAACACGUAGUUCAACUCACUACCGGAUCUAAAUCUUAAUAUCAAGUCAUGGAUGCUAAUAAGUGACAUAAAAUCUGCUCAUUGGUU